AAGUCGUAACAAGGUUUCCGUAGGUGAACCUGCGGAAGGAUCAUUCACGUAUCCAAACGUUAACCCCCUGUGAACCUUCAAUGUGCUCGUACACUUUGUCAAAGCGAGCGCGCCGAACAGUUUUGAUUCUGGGACUUCCUCAAAGAGUGUGCAUGUUGCGCGAGGCAAGUGGCCUGGCAUUCCCAAGCAGUUAAUGUCUGAAAGUGUCAUUGGCUGUGUAAGGAUGACGCAGUAACGAUCGUUGGAGGCCGACACGGCCGACGACCGGGUCACCGGGCGCAAGCCCCUUUAUCACCACUUGAUGCAUGACAGACGCGCCAGCGCUUAAUUGUGCGGCGACCAAAAACCGAACAACUGUUAACAAUGGAUAUCUUGGUUCUC
rnacentral:misc_RNA from 1 species